UUGGAGUAGUUGCCAUAGGCACGCCUUUGAUAAAGAGCAGGCCUCUUGUAAGCCCCAUCAUAGCCAUGGAAAUCUUGGGGAAGACUAGAAUGAAGGAGCUGACCAGCUACCUUCUGCAUGACAGUUGGAUAUUGAACUUGAUCAACCAUUAUGACUUUCCCUGAUGGGCGUGGCUGCUAUGGGGUGGGUUUUUUUCUCUCCGCCGCUCGCUGAGCUUUGAAACAAGAAAUCAGCUAGAGCAG
rnacentral:misc_RNA from 1 species